CUCUUAACAGCUAGCCCAGCAGAAGGACACAACAACCCACAUUAACUUAUUCCGAAUCAACAACAUUUGACCCAAACAAACCAUUUUUCCCCCUCAGUAUGGGAGACAGAAAAGGGCUUCAGGCGCUAUAGAGAAAGUACCGUAAGGGAAUGCUGAAAGAGGACUGAAACAACUCAUAAAAGAACAAAGAAGCAGAGACUAACCCUCGUACCUUUUGCAUCAUGAUUUAGCAAGUAAACCCAAGCAAAGAGCACUUAAGUUUGACCCCCCGAAACUGGACGAGCUACUCCAAGACAACCUAUUAGGGUGCACCCGUCUCUGUGGCAAAAGAGUGGGAAGAGCUUUGAGUAGAGGUGACAGACCUACCGAGCCCAGUAAUAGCUGGUUGCCUGGGAAUUGAAUAGAAGUUCAGCCUUUUAUAUUCUCCGACCACCCGCAGACAAAUCUUCAUUGCAGGACACGAGUACAUCAAAAGAGAUAUUCGAGGGAGGGACAGCUCCCUCGAACGUAGAUACAACUUUUUCAGAAGGCCAAAGACUAGAAGAUAAAAGGGAAGUACUGAAGUGGGCCUAAAAGCAGCCAUCUUAACAGAAAGCGUUAAAGCUCAAGUAUUUGUCUCCUAUAAUACCAGCCACCGAAUCUUAAGCCACUAUUUAUACCAGGCCCUCCUAUGCCUCCAUGGGAGCGAAACUGCUAAUAUGAGUAAUAAGAGACCCAGACUCUCUCCCCGCCCCCGUGUAACCAGAACACACUACUCACUGAAAAUUAACGCCCCCAUAGAGGGUACUAGGACAUCCUCUAGAUUAGACCAGAUAUGCCCCCAAUUGAUAAGCGUUGACCCUACACUGGAGGGCAAAAGGAAAGACUAAAGGAAAAAAAAGGAACUCGGCAAACAACAGCCUCGCCUGUUUACCAAAAACAUCGCCUCCUGCCAAACCAGUAUAGGAGGUCCCGCCUGCCCUGUGACGAGAGUUUAACGGCCGCGGUAUUUUGACCGUGCGAAGGUAGCGUAAUCACUUGUCUUUUAAAUGGAGACCUGUAUGAAUGGCAUAACGAGGGCUAAGCUGUCUCUUUUUUCCAGUCAAUGAAAUUGAUCUGCCCGUGCAGAAGCGGGCAUUUUAACAUAAGACGAGAAGACCCUAUGGAGCUUUAGACGAGGAGCCGACUGCAUUUAAUACCCGCCGUAAACCGGAACAAAGUAAGCAGGUCCCGCUCUUGUGUCUUCGGUUGGGGCGACCACGGAGGAUGACCAAACCCCCGGGAGGAAUGGGAUACCACCCCUGAGAAGAGAGCUACUGCUCUAUUCACCAGAACAUCUGACCACCUGAUCCGGCAAUGCCGAUCAACGGACCCAGUUACCCUAGGGAUAACAGCGCAAUCCUCUUUUAGAGUCCCUAUCGACAAGAGGGUUUACGACCUCGAUGUUGGAUCAGGACAUCCUAAUGGUGCAGCCGCUAUUAAGGGUUCGUUUGUUCAACGAUUAAAGUCCU
rnacentral:rRNA from 1 species